rnacentral:rRNA from 1 species
AACAUGGCCUUUUGAUAAUGAUUUAAGGUCCGGCCUGCCCAAUGAGAUAUUCAAUGGCUGCAGUAUUUUGACUGUACAAAGGUAGCAUAAUCAUUAGUUUUUUAAUUAAAAGCUUGUAUGAAUGGCUUAAUGAGAAAAAAACUGUCUUUAUUUAAGUUUUAUAGAAUUUUAUUUUUAAGUUAAAAAGCUUAAAUUUUAUUAAAAGACGAGAAGACCCUAUAGAGUUUUAUAAUACAAUAAUUUAUAUAUUUGAAUAAUUUAAUUUUUAUUUAGUUAAAGUAUUAUUUAGUUGGGGUGACUUAAAAAUUUAAUUAACUUUUAUAUUUUAAAACAUUUAUUUAUGAUUAAUUGAUCCACAAUUUGUGAUUAAAAGAUUAAAUUACCUUAGGGAUAACAGCGUAAUUUUUUUGGAGAGUUCUUAUCAAUAAAAAAGUUUGCGACCUCGAUGUUGGAUUAAAAUUAACUAUUGGCGCAGAAGUUAAUGGGUUAGGUCUGUUCGACCUUUAAAAUUUUACAUGAUCUGAGUUUAAACCGGUGUGAGCCAGG